UACGUAGGCGGAAUAUUAAGUCAGUGGUGAAAUCCUGCGGCUCAACCGUAGAACUGCCAUUGAUACUGAUAUUCUUGAAUAUAGUUGAGGUAGGCGGAAUGUGUAAUGUAGCGGUGAAAUGAUUAGAUAUUACACAGAACACCGAUUGCGAAGGCAGCUUACUAAACUAUUAUUGACGCUGAUGUACGAAAGCGUGGGGAGCGAACAGGAUUAGAUACCCUGGUAGUC
rnacentral:rRNA from 1 species